rnacentral:misc_RNA from 1 species
GAUGAAGAACGUAGCGAAAUGCGAUAAGUAAUGUGAAUUGCAGAAUUCCGUGAAUCAUCGAAUCUUUGAACGCAUAUUGCGCCCUCCGGUAUUCCGGGGGGCAUGCCUGUCCGAGCGUCAUUGCAACCCUCAAGCGCGGCUUGUGUGUUGGGCCUUCGUCCCCCGUGGACGGGCCCAAAAGGCAGUGGCGGUGCCGCGGUCCGGUGCCCGAGCGUAGUAAUUCUUCUCGCUCUGGAGGUCCGGUCGUGUGCUCGCCAGCAACCCCCAAUUUUUUUCAGGUUGACCUCGGAUCAGGUAGGGAUACCCGCUGAACUUAAGCAUAUCAAUAAGCGGAGGA